GACGAACGCUGGCGGCGUGCUUAACACAUGCAAGUCGAACGGAAAGGCCCUGCUUUUGUGGGGUGCUCGAGUGGCGAACGGGUGAGUAACACGUGAGUAACCUGCCCUUGACUUUGGGAUAACUUCAGGAAACUGGGGCUAAUACCGGAUAGGAGCUCCUGCUGCAUGGUGGGGGUUGGAAAGUUUCGGCGGUUGGGGAUGGAUUCGCGGCUUAUCAGCUUGUUGGUGGGGUAGUGGCUUACCAAGGCUUUGACGGGUAGCCGGCCUGAGAGGGUGACCGGCCACAUUGGGACUGAGAUACGGCCCAGACUCCUACGGGAGGCAGCAGUGGGGAAUAUUGCACAAUGGGCGGAAGCCUGAUGCAGCAACGCCGCGUGCGGGAUGACGGCCUUCGGGUUGUAAACCGCUUUCGCCGGUGACGAAGCGUGAGUGACGGUAAUGGGUAAAGAAGCACCGGCUAACUACGUG
rnacentral:rRNA from 1 species